AUGCUUUCAAAGAUGGUCUCAAAGAUAUUUCAGGUUGCCACAAUGAGUUGGGAACUUGGCUUUUUUAUGACGACAAUCUGUUGUCCCCGUUGUCUCUCUGGUGGCUCAGAUGAUAUGGAAGAUCCUGUUGGUUCUAUAGGAUUACCUAAUCCACAAUGGAAAUGUGCUCAACAAUCAUUUAUAAAAUGCAUAUCAACCUCCGGUAAGCCAGGACUGUGGAAGAAAACUAUAAAUGUGGUAGAAAUUAAAACAGCUGGUUCAAAAAGAUACCUUUAAUAUUUACAUAAUUGUCUGGGACUGAAGUGUAUAUAUUUCAAAUGGGUGUUAUUUACCUAAUAAUCUAUAAAAAGUCAUCUGAUCUAUCAUAGAUUUUUUCCUUAUGCCUUAUGCCAAAGCCUAUUAGAGUCUUUCCAGCGAAAUAUUAAACCGUUAGGUUAUAAAACUUACAAAUGAGCCAUUACUGUCUAUUAGGUCAGUACAGGUGCUCUGUAUGGGCCAUCUCUAGGUUAAAAUGGCUUAUAAUAUUUCAGAGAUAAAAAUAUCAAGUCUGUAUUACAAUGAUUUACUAUAAAAGAUGCUAUAAAAAUGAAAUACAUUUUCCAAAAAAAAUACUUGAGACAUUUUUGAAAAAUGUGUAAUUUCUAA
rnacentral:lncRNA from 1 species